CACCGAGACACAAGGGCUGGAGGUGGUGCUUGGCGUCGGCGACCGCUGCACCGUCACCAAAGCCAUCUAGAGAGCCCCGGACGCGGUCAGUCGCAUCCUCGUCAGCAGUGCUCCGUAAAUUGGUCCAGAGCAGAGUGGAGAGCCAGCGAGAUCGCAUCCACCGUUGAUCUGUUCUGGCGGUGAGCGAACUGCAAUGGGUCCAGGUUUUUGUCGAGAUAUGAAACCUCUGACUCAGGCAUUAUCUUUCAGUGCCAGAUGGUGACUGAAAUAAGACACGUAUCCUGGGAGUGGACGCAUGAAAACUUGGAAUAAGUAUUCAUUAACGUUUGAUCUUAACUUUCAUUCCCAAUCUUCUUUUUGCGUAUGGCGUGCACUGCCUAAAGUUGUAGGACAACUUGUUCUAUUUGAUCUUAUUUGAUUGUGCAUGCCAGGUUGAUUACAUUCGUCGAAACAGGUUGCAAUCUCCCACCCCAUUCCCAAUCAAAACAGACAUACCCCUUGAACCAUAUCACAAACCAGGCUUUCAGCAAAAGUGUUAGGAAUGUUUAACAGUCAAAUGUACCAGGAACAGAACAAUUACAUUCUUAAUCAUUGUGGUUCUACUAAGGCAUACUAAUGCAACAACACAACAAAUAAAUCAAUAAACAAUAAUCAAUAAUAUCAUGAACUGGAUCAGCAGUACUAUGUAAACAGGCCAUGAGAGUGCAAACUGAAGUACCUAGUGUAACAUAAACAAAGUCCAUAGCAGAUCAUAGUUGCCGAUAGAGAAUUGUGGGGAGAGUGGUGCAACGUUCAAGAGCCUGCUGGUUGUUGGGGAGAGUCUUGAACCCUAUCGACCUCAUUAAUAGAUAGUCCUGAACUACUAUCAUUGGUGGCCCUCAUUGGUGACCCUCGGACUAUCCUUGAUCGGACUUUGCGGGCUUUACCUUGCACUAAACGUUAUUCCCUUAUCAUGCAUCUGUACACUGUAAAUGGAUCAAUUGUAAUCGUGUAUUGUCUUUCCGCUGACUGGAUAGCACACAACAAAGGCUUUUCACUGUACCUCGGUACACGUGACAAUUAACUAAACUAAAUUGAUCACGACGGUCACAGUUCUCAGCCUCCUUUCUCUUCUCCUCAAGGGUAGCAGCAUGAUUGGAAUGUAUAAGAAUGGUCUCGACCCGAAACGUCACUCAUUCCUUCUCUUCAGAGAUGCUGCCUGUCCCACUGAGUUCCUCCAGCUUUUUGUGUCUACAGUAUCUUUGAUUGGAAUGUGGGUUGGUUCUUUGAUGAUCCAGGCUGUCGUUUUGCGGAAGACCCUUCGAUGGUGGUGAGGUCAGUACCCAUGAUAACCAGGGCAAUGUUCACCACUUUCUGCAGCCUCCUUAGUUCAAGUUACUGAGCCAUGCUGGGAUGCAACCAGUCAGUCUGCCC